AACGAACGCUGGCGGCAUGCCUAACACAUGCAAGUCGAACGAUACCUUCGGGCCUAGUGGCGCACGUGUGCGUGACGCGUGGGAACCUGCGCUUAGGAUCUGAAUAACACCCCGAGAGGAGUCCUAAUACCGGAUUAUAUCUUCGGACCAAAGCUUUAACGGCUUUGGGUGGGCCCGCAUUGGUUUGGCUAGUUGGUAGGGUAAAAGCCCACCAAGGCGACUAUCCAUAUCUGGUCUGAGCGGAUGACCAGCCACAAUGGGACUGAGACACGGCCCAGACUCGUACGGAAGGGAGCAGUGGGGAACAUUAUGCGAUGAGCGAAAGCCUAACGCAGCAAUGUCGCGUGAGUCAUGAAGGCGUUAGUGUUGUAAAGCUCUUUUGCCAGGGAUGAUAAUGACGGUACCGGGAGAAUAAGCUCCGGCUAACUCCGUG
rnacentral:rRNA from 1 species